AGCAGGAUGUUUGCUGUGAGUCUGUCAUAUAUGACCUUUAUUGUGUGGAGCAUCUUGUAAAGGCCCGAAGAAUUAGAAACAUCAGAUACCAUAAAAGAUCAAACAGGAUAAAGUCAAUGAAGUUUUAGCAGAGUUAGAGGUCAAAAAUGCCUGUUUAUCUGAACUAAAGAUUGGACAUGAUAUCCUGUGUGGUUUCUCAGAAGACACUGCCAUAGGAGUUUGACCAGCCUUGGCUCUAGACUUAGAUCAUGAUGCUAUCUGGAAGUGCUGACCAAAUGCCUCAGCAAUGCCUCAUGAUUUGUGAACAGCAUCACCUCCAGGAUGUUUGAAAGACCAUGUAUGUGAGAGAAAUAGUGAUCUCGGUUCGGACAUGUGACUAAGUGCGCAACUUCAGGGAAAUUUGACUAUUGGAACCAGGCGUGCUUUUCUUUAUCCUUUACUCCCAAAGAUUGGUUAGAACAUGGACUUGACUGAUGAGCAAAUGAGCAGCCAUCUUCAAGAAUUCAGCAUCAUAUUACCUUGGGCUGGGCAACAGGACAGAAUGAGCCAGCUUUGCCAGUUGUUGUGGGCCCAUCAUGCUGGCAGUGUCCUUGUUGCUUAAAAUUUUAUA